UAUAAAUGUAAAUUUUUAUCAAAGUAGUAUUAGUUAUGAUCUUGAAAUUUAAAAAUUUUGGCGGUAUUUUAGUCUAUUCAGAGGAACCUGUUCUGUAAUUGAUAGUCCACGAUAAAUUAUACUUUAUUUAUUAGUUUAUAUAUCGUCGUUAUUAAAUAUUUUAUAAGAAUUAUAAUAUUUAAGAUUUUUAAUUAAAAAAUAUAUCAGAUCAAGGUGUAGUUUAUAAUAAAGAAGAAAUGGGUUACAAUAAAUAUAUUUAUGGAUUUGUAUAUAAAAAUAUAUAAUAAAAUUGGAUUUGAUAGUAAUAAAUUUUAAAUUAAAUUUAUGAUUUUAGCUCUAAAAU
rnacentral:rRNA from 1 species